AGUGAACGCUGGCGGUAGGCCUAACACAUGCAAGUCGAACGGCAGCACAGUAAGAGCUUGCUCUUACGGGUGGCGAGUGGCGGACGGGUGAGGAAUACAUCGGAAUCUACUUUUUCGUGGGGGAUAACGUAGGGAAACUUACGCUAAUACCGCAUACGACCUACGGGUGAAAGCAGGGGAUCUUCGGACCUUGCGCGAUUGAAUUAGACGAUGUCGGAUUAGCUAGUUGGCGGGGUAAAGGCCCACCAAGGCAACGAUCCGUAGCUGGUCUGAGAGGAUGAUCAGCCACACUGGAACUGAGACACGGUCCAGACUCCUACGGGAGGCAGCAGUGGGGAAUAUUGGACAAUGGGCGCAAGCCUGAUCCAGCCAUACCGCGUGGGUGAAGAAGGCCUUCGGGUUGUAAAGCCCUUUUGUUGGGAAAGAAAAGCAGCAGGUUAAUCCCCCGAUGUUCUGACGGUACCCAAAGAAUAAGCACCGGCUAACUUCGUG
rnacentral:rRNA from 1 species